CCUACGGGAGGCAGCAGUAGGGAAUAUUGCUCAAUGGGGGAAACCCUGAAGCAGCAACGCCGCGUGGAGGAUGAAGGUUUUCGGAUUGUAAACUCCUUUUGUUAGAGAAGAAAAUGACGGUAUCUAACGAAUAAGCACCGGCUAACUCCGUGCCAGCAGCCGCGGUAAUACGGAGGGUGCAAGCGUUACGCGGAAUCACUGGGCGUAAAGAGCGCGUAGGCGGGGUAGGAAGUCAGAUGUGAAAUGCUAUGGCUUAACCAUAGAACUGCAUUUGAAACUGUUAUUCUAGAGUACAGGAGAGGUAAGUGGAAUUCCUGGUGUAGCGGUAAAAUGCGUAGAGAUCAAGAGGAAUACUCAUUGCGAAGGCGACCUGCUAGAACGUAACUGACGCUGAUGCGCGAAAGCGUGGGGAGCAAACAGGAUUAGAUACCCGGGUAGUC
rnacentral:rRNA from 1 species